ensembl:snoRNA SNORD83 Small nucleolar RNA SNORD83
GCCACAUGAUGUGAUUUAGAUAGCAUUAGCACUCUGUGCAAAGAUGACCUCCUAAUCUAUCACCCAAGACUGAUGGCU